UAAUCAAUGCAAGCUUAUGACCUGCGCUUACUGGGAAUUCCUCGUUGAUGGGAAAUAGUUUCAAUCCCCAGUCCCGAUCACGAGCGGGGUUCAGCGGGUUACCCGCGCCUCUCGGCGCAGGGUAGACACACGCUGAUCCGCCCAUUGUGGCGCGCGUGCAGCCCCGGACAUCUAAGGGCAUCACAGACCUGUUAUUGCUCCAUCUCGCGUGGCUGAACGCCACUUGUCCCUCUAAGAAGUUGAACGCCGACCGCACGGGGCCGCGUAACUAUUUAACAAGCCGGAGUCUCGUUCGUUAUCGGAAUGAACCAGACAAAUCGCUCCACCAACUAAGAACGGCCAUGCACCACCACCCACAGAAUCGAGAAAGAGCUAUCAAUCUGUCAAUCCUUUCCGUGUCCGGGCCGGGUGAGGUUUCCCGUGUUGAGUCAAAUUAAGCCGCAGGCUCCACUCCUGGUGGUGCCCUUCCGUCAAUUCCUUUAAGUUUCAGCUUUGCAACCAUACUCCCCCCUGAACCCAAAGACUCGUGGUUUCCCGAUCACGAGCGGGGUUCAGCGGGUUACCCGCACCUCUCGGCGCAGGGUAGACACACGCUGAUCCACCCAUUGUGUCGUGCGUGCAGCCCCGGACAUCUAAGGGCAUCACAGACCUGUUAUUGCUCCAUCUCGCGUGGCUAAACGCCACUUGUCCCU